rnacentral:rRNA from 1 species
UACAGAGGGGGCAAGCGUUAUUCGGAAUUAUUGGGCGAAAAGGGCGCGUAGGCGGCUUGGCAAGUGGAAGGUGAAAUCCCUCGGCUUAACCGAGGAACUGCCCUCCAAACUGCUUCGCUUGAGACCGGGAGAGGUGAGUGGAAUUCCCAGUGUAGCGGUGAAAUGCGUAGAUAUUGGGAGGAACACCAGUGGCGAAGGCGGCUCACUGGACCGGUACUGACGCUGAUGCGCGAAAGCGUGGGGAGCAAACAGG